ensembl:lncRNA
GUGGCAUCCCUGUUGGACUUUCCUUUCUAGAAGGAAGCAUCGGGCCCGAGAUUUCUGGAUCUCCUAAGCGGAAUUUGCUCUGAGGCCUGCGUCACACACACGCCCGGGCUGUGUAAGGAAGGAAUGUGGAAAAGAGUUUGAUUUUGAUAAAGGUGUCAUGGAGGAGGGGAGCCCUCUCAUUCCGAGAGCGCUGUUCCGGGCACAAGUUUGUUUGCAGGGCCUGAAAUUCAGCUUAUCUCCAGAAGCAUGAAGCCCAGAGAAACAGCAGAAAUGGAGAAGGGUUUAUAUUCCUGUUCCUUUGGUUUGAAGAACUGAACUCUAAUCUCAUUUCCCGCCAUCCCUCCCUCCCCACCCCCAAAUCCUCAAGCUAAAGCUGAUCAAGACCUACCUGGGGAAUGAAAAGCUAGUCCCACACCUGGGAGAAUUACUACUCAGUGAGCUGGGGAGAUAAGCAAGUUUGUGGCACUCUCGUCAUCGUCUCAUCUGAUCCUUACAGUCGCCUGUGCAGCAGUGUUUCCACGUUUUCAGAAGUGGUUGGGAGAAGUGACGUGCUGAGUUCGAGGUCCACGGUGAUCGCUAACAUCUCCUGCGUUAACAAAGCAUAUGCCUGGGAGUAGAAUGCUCAUUCGGAUGACUUUCCAAGUUUCACCUUCGAGGGACUGCUGGACUCUACCAUCUCCCAUCCUCCCAGCGGUGUCUGAGGAUUCUUAUCUCCCCACAUCCUACCCUAGUCUCAUCUGGUACCACUCUGCUCCUGGGUCUCCAGGCUCUAACCUCUGACGCCUGUAGGAUUUUCCCGGACCAGGGAUCAAACCCAUGUCCCCUGCAUUGACAGGCAGAUUCCUUACCAGUGAGCCACCAAGACCACCAAAUGGAAGAUCUUAAAGGUGCCUGUGAUUCUAACCUUAAUCAGACCCAGUGUCUCAUUGUCUAUCCUGAAAUGAAAUUCACAAAUAGUAUAACCUGCUUAUAGAGUGAAAACACAUAGAGGUAAUUCUCAAACUCUAAAACAGAGGAGAAUAAGUGAAAAGUAAUUUAUAAGAAAGUUAUAUGUAUUAUAGUGCUGGAAGUCCCAGUGAAGUAGCCAGGGGCUUGAACUGAACAGGUGGACGCUCUGUGAAGGUGACGGCUGCACACGCAGGUAGAGCGAGGUGUGGGGUGUUGACCCCUCGUGUGCCACCAGCACGGUGAGUGGAGAUGCUGCCAGUACUGAUGCUCCAGAAGAAUGACCAAUGGGAGCGCCCACGCAGAGUCCAGCUCAGUCUUCUCUCAGUUUACACGGUCGCUGCGUUUCAGGAAAGUACAGUGUGUGUUUAAACCAAGCAAAAACCAGUCUGUGUUUAAAUGUAAAAUAGAGUUGUUUUCUAGGUUGACCGAACUGUUCCUGGGAAGAACCACCAGGAUAUACUCUUGCCUCGGGCUGAAACGUUCUUCCUCCACCCUUUGACCACGUGCUUCACCUAUUCUUGUUUUAAAAAAUAUUUAUUUAUGUAUUUGGCUGUGUUAGGUCUUAGCUGAGGCACACAAGAUCUUCGCUGCAACCUGCUGGAUCUUUUGUUGCGGUGCACGGACUUGCUAGCUGUGGCACGUGGGCUUAGCUGCUCUGUAGCACGUGGGAUCCUAGUUCCCUGACCAGGGACUGAACCUGAGUCCCCUACAUUGCCAAGCAAAUUCUUAACCACCAGACCACCAGGGAAGUCCCUCAAGUCCAACUUGGAAGGUGCUUCCUCAAGAGAACCUUUCUAGCUUCUGCUACUUCUUCACUGUAUUUAACAUAUUUAAGACCAUUUGCAAGUGUACAUUUAUCCGUUCUCUUUCUGUUCAUGUCCGCCUCUCAGCUGGACUCGAACUCCAUGAGGUCUGGACUUGAGACUUUCCUAUCAUUGUAUCCCCAGCCCUUAACUCGUGCCUGGUAUGCAAAUAUCUGCUGCACGAAUACAAUAGUGCUCCUGUCUGCCUCCUUUGUUGUCCUGGGACUUCUUAGAAGACAUUAUUGUGCCAAAUUUAUCUGUGUCCUCAGUGCUAAAGAUAGUUCUUCCUUUUAUGUGGAAAACAGUGGUCAAAUAUUUAAUGAGCAAAUAAAAGCAAAAGCACAAUUGGGCUUCCAACGUCCUAAUGAAUGAGCUGAGGACACAGUACAAGGUGUUUUGGUAAAUCCUCCAGAAAGUGCCGUCAUCCCGGGUCAUGCUGAAGUCCUCUUUAUAGCUGUGGUUUCAAUAGGGAACCUUCAUUUUAACUGUGUUAAUAAUUAUUUGAGCUCUAGCGGUUGUAUAACAAACCACCCCAAACCUUCGUGGCUGCGUGUAACGGAGAGCUGGUUGUGUCUUAUGAUUCUGUGGGUUGGCAAUCUGGUGGCUGUACUGGCCUCUCGUGACCACAGUCAUCUGACAGUUUGAUGAGGACUUGAGGGUCCAGGUGGCCACACUCAGGCACCCGGUAGUGAUCUGGUGUUAGCUUGGGUGCCGUGGUUCUCGUUCACAUGGACAUCCAUCUUCUAGGAGGCUAACCCGGGCCUCUUCACCAUUCGAGGGUCCAAGAAGGUGAAGGCAAAGACAGAAGGUGCGAGGCGAAGGCUGCUUCCGAAGCUGCGCAGCCAUCACCUCUGCCGUGAUCUGUUGGUCAAAGCAGGUCACGGAUUCAUG